rnacentral:rRNA from 1 species
AGAGCCUGAACCAGCCAAGUAGCGUGCAGGACGACGGCCCUAUGGGUUGUAAACUGCUUUUGUAUGGGGAUAAAGUCAAUCACGUGUGAUUGUUUGCAGGUACCAUACGAAUAAGGACCGGCUAAUUCCGUGCCAGCAGCCGCGGUAAUACGGAAGGUUCGGGCGUUAUCCGGAUUUAUUGGGUUUAAAGGGAGCGUAGGCCGGAGAUUAAGUGUGUUGUGAAAUGUAGACGCUCAACGUCUGACUUGCAGCGCAUACUGGUUUCCUUGAGUACGCACAACGUUGGCGGAAUUCGUCGUGUAGCGGUGAAAUGCUUAGAUAUGACGAAGAACUCCGAUUGCGAAGGCAGCUGACGGGAGCGCCACUGACGCUUAAGCUCGAAGGUGCGGGUAUCGAACAGGAUUAGAUACCCUGGUAGUCCGCACAGUAAACGAUGGAUGCCCGCUGUUGGUACCUGGUAUCAGCGGCUAAGCGAAAGCAUUAAGCAUCCCACCUGGGGAGUACGCCGGCAACGGUGAAACUCAAAGGAAUUGACGGGGGCCCGCACAAGCGGAGGAACAUGUGGUUUAAUUCGAUGAUACGCGAGGAACCUUACCCGGGCUUGAAUUGCAGAGGAAGGAUUUAGAGAUAAUGACGCCCUUCGGGGUCUCUGUGAAGGUGCUGCAUGGUUGUCGUCAGCUCGUGCCGUGAGGUGUCGGCUUAAGUGCCAUAACGAGCGCAACCCCUCUCUUCAGUUGCCAUCAGGUGAUGCUGGGCACUCUGGAGACACUGCCACCGUAAGGUGUGAGGAAGGUGGGGAUGACGUCAAAUCAGCACGGCCCUUACGUCCGGGGCUACACACGUGUUACAAUGGCCGGUACAGAGGGACGGUGUAAUGCAAAUUGCAUCCAAUCUUGAAAGCCGGUCCCAGUUCGGACUGGGGUCUGCAACCCGACCCCACGAAGCUGGAUUCGCUAGUAAUCGCGCAUCAGCCAUGGCGCGGUGAAUACGUUCCCGGGCCUUGUACACACCGCCCGUCAAGCCAUGAAAGCCGGGGUGCCUGAAGUCCGUGACCGCAAGGAUCGGCCUAGGGCAAAACUGGUGAUUGGGGCUAAGUCGUAACAAGGUAGCCGUACCGGAAGGUGCGGCUGGAACACCU